rnacentral:rRNA from 1 species
CAAGUCGAACGAGAUCUUCGGAUCUAGUGGCGAACGGCGGAGUAAUACAUGAGCAACGUGCCCUUAUGCCUGGGAUAUACAGAGGAAACUCUGGGCAAUACCGGAUGUGGCUAUCUUUCGGCAUCGAGAGAUAACUAAACGGAUUUAUUCGCAUAGGGAGCGGCUCAUGACCCAUCAGGUAGUUGGUAGGGUAAUGGCCUACCAAGCCGACGACGGGUAGCGGGUCUGAGAGGAUGAUCCGCCCGAGUGGGACUGAGACACGGCCCACACACCUACGGGUGGCAGCAGUUGGGAAUCUUGCACAAUGAGGGAAACCUUGAUGCAGCGACGCCGCGUGGACGAUGAAGGGUUUAGGCCUGUAAAGUCCUUUUACCAGGAAAGACUUAGGACGGUACCUGGUGAAUAAGCCCCGGCUAACUACGUGCCAGCAGCCGCGGUAAUACGUAGGGAGCAAGCGUUGUCCGGAUUUACUGGGCGUAAAGGGCGCGUAGGCGGUCUGUUAAGUGUGGUGUGAAAUCUCCAGGGCUCAACCCGGAAACUGCACCGCAUACUGGCAGACUGGAGGAAGGUAGAGGUAAGUAGAAUUCCCGGUGUAACGGUGACAUGUGUAGAUAUCGGGAGGAAUACCAAUAGCGAAGGCAGCUUACUGGGCCUUUCCUGACGCUGAGGCGCGAAAGCGUGGGUAGCAAACAGAAUUAGAUACUCUGGUAGUCCACGCCCUAAACGAUGGAUACUAGGCGUCAAGGGUAUCGACCCCCUUGGUGCCGCAGCUAACGCAUUAAGUAUCCCGCCUGGGGAGUACGGCCGCAAGGUUGAAACUCAAAUGAAUUGACGG